CUGACCCCUCUAGAGAUAGAGCCUUCCCCUUCGGGGGACAAAGUGACAGGUGGUGCAUGGUUGUCGUCAGCUCGUGUCGUGAGAUGUUGGGUUAAGUCCCGCAACGAGCGCAACCCUUAAACUUAGUUGCCAGCAUUUAGUUGGGCACUCUAGGUUGACUGCCGGUGACAAACCGGAGGAAGGUGGGGAUGACGUCAAAUCAUCAUGCCCCUUAUGAUUUGGGCUACACACGUGCUACAAUGGACAAUACAAAGGGCAGCUAAACCGCGAGGUCAUGCAAAUCCCAUAAAGUUGUUCUCAGUUCGGAUUGUAGUCUGCAACUCGACUACAUGAAGCUGGAAUCGCUAGUAAUCGUAGAUCAGCAUGCUACGGUGAAUACGUUCCCGGGUCUUGUACACACCGCCCGUCACACCACGAGAGUUUGUAACACCCGAAGCCGGUGGAGUAACCAUUUAUGGAGCUAGCCGUCGAAGGUGGGACAAAUGAUUGGGGUGAAGUCGUAACAAGGUAGCCGUAUCGGAAGGUGCGGCUGGAUCACCUCCUUU
rnacentral:rRNA from 1 species